UACGUAGGGCGCAAGCGUUGUCCGGAAUUAUUGGGCGUAAAGAGCUCGUAGGCGGUUUGUCGCGUCUGUUGUGAAAGCCCGGGGCUUAACUCCGGGUUUGCAGUGGAUACGGGCAGGCUAGAGGCAGGUAGGGGAGAACGGAAUUCCCGGUGUAGCGGUGAAAUGCGCAGAUAUCGGGAGGAACACCGGUGGCGAAAGCGAGCUGCUGGAUCUCUACUGACGCUGAGGCGCGAAAGCCAGGGGAGCAAACGGG
rnacentral:rRNA from 1 species